ACCGGCAAGGGAGCGAUAGCUCUUAUUAACUAAAAUUAAUAGGGGAGGAAAGUCCGGACACUUAGUAGCAGGUACGGGCUAACAGCCCGCCGCCGUAAGGCGAGAGGUGCGAACAGAAACGUUUCGACUCGAAAGACGUCGGAAAGACCCAAUCCUAACGUAGAUGGUCUAACUCUGCUAUAAGGAUAAAAAGGCAGAGAUGAAACGGCUAAAUCCUUAUUGAGUGCAAGGCCGUACCACCAGUGCUUCGCAUACGGAGCGUUUGGUUGGGGUGCCGCUAGAGCCUUGGAGUAAUUCAAGGCCCAGAUAAAUUAUCGCGCCAAUUUGGAACAGAAUCCGGCUUACCACUUGCCGGUUUAC
rnacentral:RNase_P_RNA from 1 species